UGGUAAUUAUCUGGUCAAACACGGAAAAUGUUGACUUUCUUGACUCGCAGCGGCCACGUGAAACCGCUCCGCCUAGCCGCUGGGACACUCGCAGCGGCUUCCUUGCUUCGUCAUCACACCGCUGCGACAAGUACGAACGCGGCAGGGAACGGGGUAUUUUCCAAGCGGUCUCGUCACACCGCUGCGUCAGGCCGCUCCCGCACUUGGUAUCCAUUUCUUGAGUCUUCAUCUCUCGAGCGUCUCCAGCGGCUUAGGUACACAGCUGCGUAAGGCCGCUCCCACACUUAGUCUCCGUUUCUCAGCGCUUGCAUCGGCUUCUUACGGGGCCAAAAGGCCGCUGGGACGUCCUUAUGCCGCUGGGACACUUGAUCAAUGCGUCUCCUUCUCGAGAAUCACCCCUUUUGCCUCCAAACCAUCUCUAAAUGCUCCAAAGUCACCAUUUGAAAUCUCCAUCACCUGAUAAGGACAUAUGUAAUGCAAUGCAACCUAAACAUAUCUAAAUGCUAUCCUAAAUGGUCAACAUAUGCAAGAAUGAAUGGUUAAAACAAUGCAAAUUGAGAAGAUAUCAGCUUCUGUUUUUUUAUGAGCCCGCGUGUUGAUGUCAAUGGCCCAGGAAGGCCAUUUCCGUUUAUUUCUUUUUUUUUCCGUUCUCCGACUCUUCUUCAACCUCACCGUCUCUCUAAACUUAGUCUGAAUUUUUUUCUUUCAAACUCUUUACCUUCCUUAACGCUCAACGAGGUUCAACGUAUCCUACUAAAUUCUCUUAAUUAAUGUGAUUCUCAUUCAACCCAAUAACAUUCUCGACCUCUCGGUUUCCUUCCUUUUAUAUAUGAUUGGAGAGGAUUGCGAGUGGGAUGAAUCUUCACAAUCACUCUCAAUUAAUUGAUCCUUCGAAAAUGUCUUCCUCCGAUGUUGUUGCGCAAUCCGCCUUCGAUGUUCUCCGACUGGGUAGAUCUUCACAGUUCAUUGUUGCUCGUCUGCUACGUUUUUGGACUCCAAAAACAUCAAGAAGUAUGGUGAAUUCAUGGGAAUCACUUUAUAGCUCUUAUACAAGUCGAAUCUCUUUCUCUCUAUCUGCAAAUAACAUGAUUCUGAUUGUUUAUAUGUUUUUUUAUAGAUGUAGCAUCAAGCUUUACUCUGGCUUGAAGCCUUAAUCUGCAAGUAUAUGUUCCUUUUUCUUUUUAAUCUUUUCGAAAGUUUCUGUCUUUAAAUCGGAUAUGGUUAGUCCCUUACGAGUGAAGUGAUUUAUUUAAUGUUACUACAACUACUUGUCGGAAUUGUGUUCAUGCUUUUUGACAAAUUGGCAUCAUAAUUUGAAUAGGAGUCUGUGGCAGGAUCCACAUGAAUUUGCAAUCCAGUACAGGGAAAGCGAGUUGGUCACGGGUGAAGAUGAUGCCUAUAGGUACACCUACAGAAACCGAGAGGAAGGCACUUGGCAAUAGGUUUCCCUAGUAUCGAGAGCGUGUGAUCUUCAUUGGACAGAACAUUGAUGAAGAGUUUUAGCAACCAGAUAUUAGCAACUAUGUUGUAUCUUGAUACUCUUGAUGAUUCCAGGAGGAUUUAUAUGUACCUUAAUGGACCUGGUGGUGAUGUGAGUUUCUCUUUCACAAUUUUUUUUGUUCUUUGCUUACAAAACUUGUCUAAAUUUUAAAAAAAAAAUUAUUAUAUUUUUUCUGUAGCUAACUCCAAGUUUAGCUAUCUAUGAUACAAUGAAGAGCUUGAAAAGUCCGGUUGGGACACAUUGUGUUGGGCUUGCCUAAAACCUUGCAGGUUUUCUUCUUGCUGCCGCUGAAAAGGUACUCUUUAUUUCACUUUCUUUUGAAGCAUGUGGAAACCAAAUUGAUCUUAUAUGCUAGCUAGACUCUGAGGAACUUGAAGUUGAAUUAUUGUUUUCUGUGAAAGGGUCAACGGUUUGCGAUGCCAUUGUUAAGGAUCGCUCUCCAGUCACCUGCUGGUGCAGCUCGUGGUCAGGUGGUGCAGCUAUAAGCCGCUUAUCUCUCUAAGUUAUGGACUAUAAAAAAUAUUUUUCCUCUCUUAUAGUAACAUGGUAAAGCUAUAUAUAUACACUUGCAAAAUUCCUUCAGGCUGAUGAUAUUCAAAAUGAAGCAAAGUAGCUUUCAAGGAUAAGAGAUUACCUCUUCAACUAACUAACCAAAAAUACAGGACAGCCUGCGGAAAAGGGUUAGUUUUGUUGUCAUAAUAAUAAUUGACACCUCUGAGUGCAUAUGCUGAUGAUGAUGAAAAUAAUUAAACAAUGAUGAUGAUACAGAUCUUCAAAGAUUUGAGCAGAUUGAAAAGGUUCAACUCAGAAGAAGCUAUAGAGUACGGACUUAUCAUUGUUAGACCACCGCGCAUCAAAGACGACGUUCCUCUCCAAGAUGAAACCUCAGGUCUCGGUUAAUCUGCUUUACAAACAUUCUGUAAUGUCAAAGUCUUACAAGCUUGGAGUUGUUGUUCUUAGUGCAAUUGUUACCAAAUAAAAUCAUUUAUGUAUAUAGAGUUAAUUAAUUAUCAUUGGAUCUUGAAA